UGAGAGGGACAGACUUUUCUUUUUUUUACAUGAGAAGCUCACUUUCACGUUGAACUCGUCAUCUUUCUUCUCUUAUCAGCAGGAUAUAAUAUCGAGGGAAGGAAGUCCCAAAACGCCUGUGCCUUACAGCAUGAACAGUGAUCGGUCCAUGUAUGAACCAAUAACGCUCACAGUGGAAUCCGUACCUCUGUGAAAUGGAGCCAGCAGGCGGAGACAGAGUACUUGUUGUAUACAGUCGGCUCAGCAGACAGUGAGAUYGAUUUAUAUGGAUCUGGUCUUCAUWUAAAUCAGAGCCCUACUGUUGAGGACCCUCUGCCUGCUUUAGGCCAGAUGCAGGAUAGCAGAAUAGUACAUCGUACCAGACUGGACUGUACCAUAUGUGUACAGCGCAGUGACGAAGCUGUGAAGUUCUGCCAGGAUUGCAAGGCUACUUUCUGUGAGAACCAUGUUAGAGACCACUACCAGGUCCCAGGACUGAUGCAACACACAUUGGUGGAGGCCACUGAAGGAAGGAAAACCAUUCCAAAUGUAGAUGAUCACGUCCAUCAAACAUAUGUUGAAACAGAACAAACUGUGACUCAGGUCUGCUCAUGGAAAACAGCCUUCUUCGUCAGUCUUCUGGGGAUUCUCAUACUGGUACUUGCCCUGGUAGGACUUGUAUGUUAUGCAGACUUGUGUGUCACUGUCCAUGGGUCUGAGGUGGGAUUUCAGCAACGGAUUGUUCUGCUGGGGAAGACUGGAUCAGAGAGAGAGCAUCAGGAAACACCAUCCUGGGAAGAGAGGCCUUUAAAGUGGAGGCUUCACCUUCGUAUGGGCCACAGUGUGAGGAACAAGAUGCUGUUGUGGGCCGAAAUAACAUAACUAUGAUUAACACCCCAGAUGUGUUGCCAUCUGAGGACGUUGCAGGUAAGUAGCUCGAUGCAUCAACAUCUCAACACCUCACGUGUUCCUGCUGGUGAUCAGGUUGUGCAAUUGGUGCACAGAAGAGGAGAAGAAAACUGUCAAAUGGAUGAACGAGAACUUUGCGGAGGAGGCCCUUAAAUACACCAUUGUGCUGUUCACUGGUGGAGACCAGCUAGAAGGGAAACCAGUGGAGAAGUAUCUAAUGGACAACAGUGAUUCCCUAAAGCUUCUCAGUAUGUGUGGUGGUAGACAUCACGUCUUCAAUAACAAAGAAAAAAUGACCUCACUCAGGUCACAGAGCUGCUGAGAAGAUAGACGGAUUAUUGAAUGAGAAUAGGGGAUACUAUCAUGUGACAAACAUCUUGACCCGGAGGGACGAGGAGAGCAGAGGAGGGAGGAGGCUCUGAGAAAGAUACUGGAACAGGAGGUUAGAAAGAGGGAUGCAGCCAUAGCAACGAUAAGAGAGGAGGAGGAGAAAAAGAGGGAUGCAGCCAUAGCAAACGAUAAGAGGAGGAGGAGGAGAAAAAAGAGGGAGACUGAAGAGAGAAAAGUCUGUGAGAGGGAAGAUGAAGGGAGGAUGGUCAUUGAUAAUCUGGCAUUAAGUCUCAGGCUCAGAAAUGUAUGUAGGAGUAACAGUGAUCACAAUGAUCAUACUAAUUGUCCUUAAUGAUACGAAACUGAAUAUUAGGGCGUCUCUUCAUUGGUAUUCACAAUCAUCACCUGAACAUUAGGGAGUCUCUCAUUUGGUAUUCACAAUCAUCUGAACAUUAGGAGUCUCUUCAUUUGGUAUUCACAAUCAUCUGAACAUUAGGGAGUCUCUUCAUUUGGUAUUCACAAUCAUCUGAACAUUAGGGAGUCUCUUCAUUUGGUAUUCACAAUCACUCAUUCUGAACAUUGAAGAGUCUCUUCAUUUGACAUUCACAAUCUUUGCCGGAAUAUUAGGUAGUCUCUUAAUUUCAUAUUCACAAUCAUCAUCUGAACAUUAGUGAGUUUCUUCAUUCAUCACCUGAACAUUAGUGAGUCUCUUCAUUCAUCAUCUCUUAUUGUAAAGCAGGGUGACCUCUGUAAAGCAGGGUGAACUCUGUAAAGCAGGGUGACCUCUCAAAGCAGGGUGACCUCUCUAAAGCAGGGUGACCUCU